GGCCUUCUAUCAUGUUCGUGCUGUCGAUGCAAUAUUUUGGUGAGCCGAUAUUGAUGCCCGUUGGGCGCCCGAUCUAAAGGACUCGGCCGCGUGUAUAGCCGACCCUCGGUCGGAUCACACAACCCGAGUUCCGGGCUGCCCACCUUUUAUCGAACGGGCUCUCAAAAGCGCAUCGCCACGGCAUUGCGGUGGAAGGCCU
rnacentral:other from 1 species